rnacentral:rRNA from 1 species
UACGAAGGGGGCUAGCGUUGCUCGGAAUUACUGGGCGUAAAGGGCGCGUAGGCGGAUAUUUAAGUUGGGGGUGAAAUCCCGGGGCUCAACCUCGGAAUUGCCUUCAAAACUGGAUAUCUUGAGUUCGGGAGAGGUGAGUGGAACUCCGAGUGUAGAGGUGAAAUUCGUAGAUAUCUGGAGGAACACCGGUGGCGAAGGCGGCAUCCUGGACCGACACUGACACUGAGGAGCGAAAGCCAGGGGAGCAAACGGG